rnacentral:rRNA from 1 species
UGCAUAAUCAUUAGUCUUUUAAUUUGAGACUGGAAUGAAAGAGUAAACCGGGAGAAUUUUUUUUCAGUUGAGAAAAUGAAUUUUACUUUUUAGUAAGAAGGCUAAAAUUUAACUUUUAGACAAGAAGACCCUAUAAAACUUUAUAUUUUUAUUUCUUAGUUGAAAGAAGAAGUAUUUCGCUGGGGCGGUGGAGGAAAGCCCUUCCUUUAAAAAAAUAAACUUUCUUGUUUAAAUACCUAGAAAUUCUAAAUUAGAAAUAAGUUACUUUAGGGAUAACAGCUUAAUUUACUUAGAAAGAUCAAAUUGACAAGUAAGAUUAUGACCUCGAUGUUGAAUUAAAAGACCUUUUUGUGCMMAAGCUAAAAA